rnacentral:rRNA from 1 species
AUGGCGUCUCGCGCAGCUCCUCCCGUCCUGCUGCUGCUCUUCUUCUUCCUCGUGAUGGCGUCCCUGCUCGCCGUCGAUGCGUCAGCGGCGGCGGCGGCGCCUGGCGUGAACUCGCCGUUCGUGCUCGCGGCGGCGCGGACGCAGCGGAAGGACCCUCUCGACGGGCUGAGGUACUACACCGGCGGAUGGAACAUCAGCAGCGAGCACUACUGGGCCUCGGUGGGCUUCAGCGCGGCGCCGGUCUUCGCGGCGGCCGGAGUCUGGUUCGCCGUGUUCGGCGCCGCCCUGUUCCUCGCCGGGUGCUGCUACUGCUGCUGCCCCAGCCGCAGCACCUCCUACUCCCGCGCUGCCCUGGUCGUCUCGCUCCUGCUCCUCCUCGCCUUCACGGCCGCCGCCGCCAUCGGGUGCGCUGUCCUGUACGACGGGCAGGGCCGGUUCCACGGCAGCACGGCGGCGACGGUGGACUACGUGGUGAAGCAGUCGGGCGACACGGUGGACAACCUGCGGGCCUUCUCGGGGUUCCUGGAGGCUGCCAAGGCGGCCGGCGUGGGGGCCGUCUCGCUACCCGACGACCUCAAGGGGAGGAUCGACGGCGUGGUGCGCAGGGUGAGCUCCGCCUCCGACGAGCUCGCCGCCCGCACCGCCAGCAACUCCGCCAAGAUCCGAGACGCGCUGGACACAGUAAGGAAGAUCCUCAUCGUUCUUGCAGCCGGGAUGCUAAUCCUCGCCUUCGCUGGCCUUGUGUUCUCGGCGUGUGGAUUGGAGUCGCUGGUCUACGUGUUGGUGUUCCUCGGGUGGAUUCUGGUUGCGGCAACGUUCGUGAUGUGCGGCACGUUCCUCCUCCUGCACAACGUGGUGGGGGACACGUGCGUGGCGAUGGGCGAGUGGGUGCGGCGCCCGCAGGAGCACACGGCGCUGGACGACAUCCUGCCGUGCGUCGACACGGCCGCCGCCUCGGAGGCGCUCGGCCGGAGCAAGGAGGUGAACUACCGCCUCGUGGACGUGCUCAACGGCGUCAUCUCCAACGUGUCCAACCGCGACUUCCCGCCGCAGGCGCCGCUCUCGCCGCCGCUCUACUACAACCAGUCGGGCCCGCCCGUGCCGCCGCUCUGCAACCCCUACACGCCGGACCUCCGCGACCGCGCCUGCGCGCCCGGCGAGGUCGCCGGCCCGGACGCCGCGCGGCAGUCGUGGGGCGGCCUCGUGUGCCGGACGGCGGACGCCGGCGGGUCGGGGGUGUGCGCCACCGCCGGGCGACUGACGCCGUCCAUGUACGCGCAGAUGGUCGGCGCCGCCAACGUGAGCUACGGGCUGUCCCGGUACGGGCCGGUGCUGGUGGACCUGGCGGACUGCGCGUUCGUGCGCCGCGCGUUCCAGGCCGUCGGCGAGGACCACUGCCCCGGCCUGCGGAGGUACAGCGAGCAGGUGUACCGGGGCCUGCUGGCCGUCGCGGCCGCCGGGCUGCUCUCGGUGCUGCUGUGGGUGGUGCACUCGAGGGAGAGGCGGAAGAGGAGCGACGCCAGGGAGGUGGAGCUCAUGGCGCCGCCGCCGCCCUUCAGGUACCCGCUGGAGGAGAAGGCGCUGCUGCACAGCCCCAGAAGAAGGCCGUACAUGUGA